rnacentral:rRNA from 1 species
UCGAGAAUUUUUCUCAAUGGGCGCAAGCCUGAAGGAGCGACGCCGCGUGGAGGAUGAAGGUCUUCGGAUUGUAAACUCCUGUCAUUGGUGAACAAAGCUUACGGUUUACUGCCGUGGAGCCUGCUAGUAGCCAAAGAGGAAGAGACGGCUAACUCUGUGCCAGCAGCCGCGGUAAUACAGAGGUCUCAAGCGUUGUUCGGAAUUAUUGGGCGUAAAGGGUGCGUAGGCGGCAGGAUAAGUUAGAUGUGAAAUGUCGACGCUUAACGUCGAACCUGCAUUUAAGACUGUCUUGCUUGAGCGCUAGAGAGGAGUCUGGAAUUUACGGUGUAGCAGUGAAAUGCGUAGAUAUCGUAAGGAAGGCCAGUGGCGAAAGCGAGACUCUGGCUAGAUGCUGACGCUGAGGCACGAAAGCUGGGGGAGCAAACGG